AUGAUUUGAAAUUAAAUAGCCGCAGUAUUUUGACUGUGCUAAGGUAGCAUAAUCAAUUGUUUUUUAAUUAAGAACUGGAAUGAAGGAAUUGAUGAAAUUAAGACUGUCUAAUAUAAAAUGUUAAAAUUUAAAUUUUAAGUAAUAAUUCUUAAAUAAAAUUAUGGGACGAGAAGACCCUAUAGAAUUUGAUAUAAUUUUUUAAAAUAAAUAUAAAAUAAGAUUUAAUAAAAUUAAUAUUUUAUUGGGAGGAUAAUUAAAUUAAAUUAACUUUAAAAUUAAAAUUGAACAUUAAUUUAUGAUAAUAAUUGAAUAAUUUUAUAAUAAUAAUUAAAAUUAAUUAAAAAUUAAUUACCUUAGGGAUAACAGCGUAAUAUUUUUAAAAAGAUCAUAUUGAUAAAAGU
rnacentral:rRNA from 1 species